AUUCUCAGUAUCAAUAAAAACCUUGAAAGAGUGUCCUUGCGAUCCUUUAGUGAUGUUUCAUUAUUAAAAUUGUCUUUUACUAGAGGUGUCAGAAAAGUUACCACAGGGAUAACUGGCUUGUAGCUGUAGAGAGUUCAUAUCGACAUAGCUUUUUGAUUCUUCGAUGUCGGCUCUUCCUAUUCUUAAGUUGCAGAAGACUUAACGGAUGUGAUUGUUCACCACUCAAAAGGGACGUGAGCUGGGUUUAGACCGUUGCGAAACAGGUUAGUUUUAUCCUACUGUUCUUAAAUUAUAUUGGCAUUUUGAAUUUCGAAUGAUUUCGUCAUCAUUGUUCACUUGCAAAGAUCGAAUCUCUGAAGAGCAAUUUUGGGUUAUACGAGAGGAACACCCCAAUUCACGCUUCUGAUAAUGCUUUGCGUCGACCGACGCGAGAAGCAAAGUUACGCGUGCCACGAUAAAA
rnacentral:rRNA from 1 species